UUGGGUGUUAACCCUCACGCGUAAUGAAAGUGAACGGAGGUGAGAGCCCUUCGGGGUGCAUCAUCGACCGAUCCUGAUGUCUUCGGAUGGAUUUGAGUAAGAGCAUAACUGUUCGGACCCGAAAGAUGGUGAACUAUGCGUGGAUAGGGUGAAGCCAGAGGAAACUCUGGUGGAGGCUCGCAGCGGUUCUGACGUGCAAAUCGAUCGUCAAAUCUGCGCAUGGGGGCGAAAGACUUAUCGAACCAUCUAGUAGCUGGUUACCGCCGAAGUUUCCCUCAGGAUAGCAGUGUUGUCUUCAGUUUUAUGAGGUAAAGCGAAUGAUUAGGGACUCGGGGGCGCUAUAUUGCCUUCAUCCAUUCUCAAACUUUAAAUAUGUAAGAAGCCCUUGUUACUUAAUUGAACGUGGGCAUUCGAAUGUACCAACACUAGUGGGCCAUUUUUGGUAAGCAGAACUGGCGAUGCGGGAUGAACCGAACGCGGGGUUAAGGUGCCAGAGUGGACGCUCAUCAGACACCACAAAAGGUGUUAGUACAUCUUGACAGCAGGACGGUGGCCAUGGAAGUCGGAAUCCGCUAAGGACUGUGUAACAACUCACCUGCCGAAUGUACUAGCCCUGAAAAUGGAUGGCGCUCAAGCGUCUCACCCAUACCUCGCCCUUAGGGUAGAAACGAUGCCCUAAGGAGUAGGCGGCCGUGGAGGUUAGUGACGAAGCCUAGGGCGUGAGCCC
rnacentral:rRNA from 1 species